AAUGUCUCAACGGGGUGCUUUUUUUAAGCUGAGAAAAACUCGUGGAACCUGAUCCAGCUAAUACUGGCGUAGGGAUUUGAGUCAGGAUGGCGC
rnacentral:ncRNA from 2 species